rnacentral:rRNA from 1 species
GCUGGCGGUGCGCCUUAUGCAUGCAAGUCGAGCGAAGCUUUUCAGUAGUUUACUACAGAAAAUGACUGAGCGGCGAACGGGUGAGUAACGCGUGAGCAAUCUACCUUAGUUACAGGGAUAGCCCGAGGAAACUCGGAUUAAUACCUGAUAUUCUUUAUUUCUCGCAUGAGAAUAAAAGGAAAGGUCAGCCGAACUAAGAUGAGCUCGCGUUCUAUCAGCUAGUUGGUGAGGUAAAAGCUUACCAAGGCUACGACGGAUAGCUGGUCUGAGAGGACGAUCAGCCACACUGGGACUGAGACACGGCCCAGACUCCUACGGGAGGCUGCAGCAGGGAAUAUUGUGCAAUGAACGAAAGUUUGACACAGCGACACCGCGUGUGGGAUGACGGAUCUAGGUUUGUAAACCACUUUCAGGAGGGAAGAAAAUGACGGUACCUCCACAAGAAGCCCCGGCCAACUACGUGCCAGCAGCCGCGGUAAUACGUAGGGGGCGAGCGUUGUCCGGAUUUAUUGGGCGUAAAGAGCUCGUAGGCGGUUCAACAAGUCGGUCGUGAAAGUUCAGGGCUCAACCCUGAAAUGUCGAUCGAUACUGUUGUGACUAGGAUACGGUAGAGGUGAGUGGAAU